AACUCUGCAAUAAGCGAAAGCUUGACAGGGUUAUUCUGAGUGAUUUCCGCUAAGGAGAUCUUUUGGCACCUCUAAAAAUGGUGCAGAAUAAGGGGUGGGCAAGCCUGGUGUCAGCCGCCGCGGUAAUACCAGCACCCCGAGUGGUCGGGACGAUUAUUGGGCCUAAAGCAUCCGUAGCCGGUUCUACAAGUCUUCCGUUAAAUCCACCUGCUUAACAGUUGGGCUGCAGAGGAUACUAUAGAGCUAGGAGGCGGGAGAGGCAAGCGGUACUUAGUGGGUAGGGGUAAAAUCCGUUGAUCCACUGAAGACCACCAGUGGCGAAGGCGGCUUGCCAGAACGCGCUCGACGGUGAGGGAUGAAAGCUGGGGGAGCAAACCGGAUUAGAUACCCGGGUAGUCCCAGCUGUAAACGAUGCAGACUCGGUGAUGAACAGGCUUCGUGCCUAUUCAGUGCCGCAGGGAAGCCGUUAAGUCUGCCGCCUGGGGAGUACGGUCGCAAGACUGAAACUUAA
rnacentral:rRNA from 1 species